UAUAAGGAAAAAGGAAAUGAGGGCUUUUGGGGUUGGGCAUGUCGGGUUAGGUUUUAGCCUAGGAUGGCGGGGCUCGAUUGGGUUUUAGGAUGGCCCAAUGUGUUGGGCAUGACUGACCCAGUUGUGGAAGCCCUUGGGCUAGCCCACUCGGCUUGUUCUCCCUUGUCGCUUGUCCGGGAACCUAGGAUGACUUGGUUAGGUUGGUCCUACUCGGGAUAUCGAUGUCAAUUUAAUUUGGGUUCUCUUUAGGUCUCCUAGAAUUGGCGAUAUGAUUAGCGAGUCAUUUUGUUGAUCGGAGUCCUAAGGACGAAGCCCUAUUAGACGACUCGAGGCCGAGUAAGACUGACCCCGAGUGCGUUCUAGGCUAGCCUAUGAUGAUGACGUGGGUUUAUUUCGAAUCCUGAUUUCUGAUGGAUUCCUUUUAUCUGAGGCUAGAAUAUUGCAAUUUAUUCCUUUUAAACCAUUUAUUAAAUUAUUAAUUAAUUAUUAAGUUUUCAAGAAAAUUUAUCAAUUUAGUUAUAAAUAUAUAUAUGUAUGUAUUUUUGAUAAAGGAGGAAUUUAGAUAAAAAAUAUAUUAUCUAUAUUAAAAGAAAACUAGUUUAUGGGUAAAUAUAUAUAUAUAUAUUAUGAUAUUGCAGCCUAUAAGUGGGUGUGUAGUUCCACUAUACACUUACGCGUAGCAAGCAAAGCGAGACAUGAUGACGUAGUCGAUGGCUUAGCUCGACGAAUUCCAUGACGCCAGAUUUGAAUAUUGCGCGGGCCAAGGCUCAGAUUCUCAGGAUUUUGUUCGAUCUUCUCCCCAGACUCGGACUUGAGUCAUCAUUUCCCAGGCGAGUAGACAGGAUAUGUUAUGAUUACCUUAUAUUAUGCACGUAUAUACUGUUUUAUUCAUAAAUAUUAUAACCUUGUAUAAAUUUUUAUAUGCAUAACUCGUACAUGAUUUUUAUAUGCGGAUCAUAGAAAAAUACUCUUAAAUGUUUCUAAUUUGCAUGAAAUAUUUUCAUCCUACUGGGAGAGACAUAAACUGAAAGAUACCCUAAUUGAUUUCUUGUUUUGAGAAUGUGAAUUAUUGAAUGAUAUGGUGUAUUUUAGGCACCACAUGAAAUGAUAAAUGAUUAUGACUUGUGCAUAAAUUAGGGUAUUAUUUGCAUUAUUAUUAGAGGACUAUCUAGUAGAUUCCCUGGUGACUCACAGCAGGAAAAGAUCAUGGUACUGUGAGGCUUGGCAUGCCAAGGCCAUGAGAGACACGGAUAGUAUGCUUCAGCACUGCUAUCACGUGGGCCUUUAUGAUGAUAUUGUGUGAUGAUGAUGUAUGUGCCGAUAUAUAUACUUGUGUGCAUGUGUAUAUAGGCGUUAGGCCAGUUUCUACUAGUGUGUCCUCAGAAUCAGUGCAUGCAUCUCAUACAAAAGUAUAGG